rnacentral:rRNA from 1 species
GAAUUAUUUCAUCCUGGAGGUAGAGCACUGAAUGUGGAAUGGCCGCGUCUAGCGGUACUGACUGCAAUCAACCUCCGAAUGCCAGGAAUUGUAGAUUCAGGAGUCAGUGUAUGAGGUGAUAACGUCCAUACGCGAAAGGAAAACAAUCCAGACCAUCAACUAAGGUCCCUAAAUAUAUGUUAAGUGGGAAAGGAUGUGGAGACGCACGAACAGCUAGGAGGUUGGCUUAGAAGCAGCCAUCCUUUAAAGAGUGCGUAAUAGCUCACUAGUCGAGUAUCUCUGCGCCGAAAAUGUACCGGGGCUAAACAUAUUACCGAAGUUAUGGAUUUAUAAUUUAUUAUAAAUGGUAGGGGAGCGUUCUAAGGGUGCUGAAGGUAGAUCGCGAGGACUACUGGAGCGCUUAGAAGUGAGAAUGCCGGUGUGAGUAACGUAAGGUAGGUGAGAAUCCUACCCACUAUUUGACCAAGGUUUCCAGGGUCAAGUUCGUCUUCCCUGGGUUAGUCAGGACCUAAGGCGAGGCUGAAAAGCGUAGUCGAUGGACAACAGGUUUAUAUUCCUGUACUGCUUAUAAGACUGAUGGAGUGACGGAGAAAGCUAGGAAGGGCCAGUUAUUGGAUUCUGGUCUAAGCAAGUAGGCUGAUACAUAGGAAAAUCCGUGAUAUCGAUAAGGCUGAGAUGUGAUGGCGACGUGGUCUACGGACUACUAAGUCUUCUGAAGCUAUGCUUCCAAGAAAAACUUCUAAAGAUAUGUUAUAAGUACCUGUACCUAGAACCGACACAGGUGGUCAAGGAGAGAAUCCUAAGGUGAGCGAGAGAACUAUGGUUAAGGAACUCGGCAAAAUUACCCCGUAACUUCGGAAUAAGGGGAGGUUUCUUCGGAAACCCGCAGUGAAUAGGUCCAGGCAACUGUUUACCAAAAACACAGGUCUCUGCUAAAGCGUAAGCUGAUGUAUAGGGGCUGACGCCUGCCCAGUGCUGGAAGGUUAAGAUGAUUUGUUAGGUGGACGAAAGUCGAUAACACCGAAGCUUUGAUUUGAAGCCCCAGUGAACGGCGGCGAUAACUAUAAUCGUCCAAAGGUAGCGAAAUUCCUUGUCAGGUAAGUUCUGACCCGCACGAAAGGCGUAAUGAUCUGGACGCUGUCUCAACCAUAGACUCGGUGAAAUCUUAAUACCUGUGAAAAUGCAGGUUACCCGCGACAGGACGGAAAGACCCCAUGGAGCUUUACUGUAGCUUGAUAUUGAAGUUAGGUAAUUUAUGUAGAGGAUAGGUGGUAGACUAUGAUGUAUGGACGCCAGUUCAUACGGAGUCGCCCUUGGAAUACCACCCUUAAAUUAUUUGACCUCUAACUUACUCCCGUUAUCCGGGAGGAGGACAGUGUCUGGUGGGCAGUUUGACUGGGGCGGUCGCCUCCCAAAGAGUAACGGAGGCGCUCAAAGGUUCCCUCAGAUUGGUCGGAAAUCAAUCAAAGAGUGUAAUGGUAUAAGGGAGCUUGACUGCGAGACCUACAAGUCGAGCAGGUGCGAAAGCAGGACAUAGUGAUCUGGCGGUAGAAUAUGGAAUUGCCGUCGCUUAACGGAUAAAAGUUACCCUGGGGAUAACAGGCUGAUACCACCCAAUAGUUCACAUAGACGGUGGUGUUUGGCACCUCGAUGUCGGCUCGUC